rnacentral:tRNA from 1 species
GACGCCGUGGUCGAGUUUCAUGAUGCGUGGGAGGUGCCCGCGGGAGCGGUCGCGUGCCAGAGGCCGAGGAGAGUGCGGAAGUUUUCGGGCGCCUC